AUUGAACGCUGGCGGCAGGCCUAACACAUGCAAGUCGAACGAGUGGCGGACGGGUGAGUAAUGUCUGGGAAACUGCCCGAUGGAGGGGGAUAACUACUGGCAACGGUAGCUAAUACCGCAUACCAUCGGAUGUGCCCAGAUGGGAUUAGCUAGUGGGUGGGGUAACGGAUCACCAAGGCGACGAUCCCUAGCUGGUCUGAGAGGAUGACCAGCCAGACUGGAAAUGAGACACGGGCCAGACUCCUACGGGAGGCAGCAGGGGGGAAUAUUGCACAAUGGGCGCAAGCCUGAUGCAGCCAUGCCGCGUGUAUGAAGAAGGCCUUCGGGUUGUAAAGUACUUUCAGCGGGGAGGCGUUACCCGCAGAAGAAGCACCGGCUAACUCCGUGCCAGCAGCCGCGGUAAUAC
rnacentral:rRNA from 1 species